UUUACAGAGACAUUCGUCGACGUCUUACUCUGCGCCGUCCCGAUUUGGCUCGCCGUCAUGAUCGGUCUUUUGAUCGGAUGGUCUUGGCGUCCGAGAUGGACCGGGUUGAUCUAUCUAGGGUUCCGUUCUAAGCUUCGGUUUCUGUGGACUGCGCCUCCUGGGUUCGGCGCUCGUCGUCUUUGGCUUGCUUUCACUGCUCUCUCCGCUUUCUCCGUUUGCCGCACCGUCUGGUCGAGGCGUGACACGUCAGCUAACAAAUCGGGGAAUGGUUCAGCGCCGACACAGCUGGCUCCUGUAGAAGAGAGUCCUCAAAGUGAUGAAACAGGGUCAGUUUAUUACAGAACAUGAUUGAUAUGUUUUUUUUUUCCCCCUUACAAUCUGAGAUUCUCUCUGUUCUGUUAAUCAUAGUUAUGUGUUCAAAAAAGGAACGUUUGCUUUUAAUGUUAGCUUGUAAAGUUAUAUAGUAUGGUAGAUUUGAUUGAUUUUGUAUUUAGUGUAGCAGCGUUGAUACAUUAAUUAUACUUGCAGGGCUAGCGAUAACACGACGGUGAGAGAGGAGAUUGUGACAGAGAAUGAUCUAGAGCAUUUGCUGCAGCUGCUUGAAGUUGGGAAUGCGACUAGGGAAUGGCAAUCCAUGAUGGACAAGACUACUCCAAAUAUGAGUUACCAGGCUUGGCGCCAUGAGCCUCAGGUAAUCAAUUUCUUAGAUUUUACUUUGUAAAAUCUGAACAUCAUUAAUAUGAUAUUAGCAUUCUUAGCAAAAAAAAAAAAAAAGAGGGAAUACAAUUUUAAAUCAAAGGAUUUAUAAAAUUGAAAUUUGUUAGUUCCUGAAAGUUUAUGACAAGGAUUCUCAAUAAUUAUUAUAAUAAAAUAUUGAUUAUAACAGUACACCUUAAAUUUGUAAAGAAUGCUGGACACUUCAAAUAAAAAUAACGUCAUCCUCGUUAGUUUUGAGCAAUUUGUUGAAGAAAUAUUUUGGGCCAGCCAAAGUAAAAGCUAUUGGCCGAACCAACUGCAAUAACACCCCCAACUUUCCAGCACAUCUGAAUCUCUCCAGAAGGCAGAAACAUAUCUCUCUCACUCUCCUUAUCCACAAUUUCCCCAGUCCCCUAAAGACCCACUCUCCCUUACUCCCGCGUGUAAUUCACUAUUUGGCUUUCUAAUUUUAUCUCGACAUUGAUAUUCUUUUUCAUUUUCUGAAAUGUACUGUGUAAAUGUAAACAAUCACAAUUUCCAAAAGAAUGUAUAAUCUAGUAAAUCAACAAUAGUAUUAAUAAAUGAUGGUCCUAAGGGCAUCAUUAUGGGAGGGACUUGAUUAAGGGCCCUUAACAUUUUUUAUUAUUAUUUUUGUGUUAAGGAACUAAGUUAAGGGCUUUUGUAUAAGUAGCUGAUUAUUGGUGGGACUUAACUUGUCCCUUACUUAGUUAAAUUGAUUAUUUUCAUUAAUAAGUAAUAACAUAUAUAAAAGCAUAGUUUUUAAAAAAACAUGUAAAAGAAAAGUCUAACAUUCAAAUUGAAAACAUGAGGAAUUUUUUAAAAAUAAAAAUUACAAACAUCUUAAUAUAUAAAAGCAAACAAACAUUUUAUUCGAGUAAUAAAAACUUAUAAAUCAGAAGUUAUUUGGAAGAUGUCCAAAUUUAGCCCAUAUAUUAUCGAUCAAAUCAUUUUUUAAUUGGUGAUGGGCUUGUGUAUUCCGAACGCUCGUUCGACGAUCAAUCAUAUUACCGAGAUUUGAAGGCAUAUUGACGGAAAAUGUAUCCUCCUCUUCACUUUCUUGAAAUUCUUCAAGGUCAAACUGAGUAGAUGCUGAUCGUUCAUCUUCGACAAUCAUAUUAUGGAGAAUGAUAGAUGCUCUCAUAAUAGUUGCAAUCUUCUCUUUAUCCCAUAACUGAGAUGGGUUUCGGACCACGGCAAAUCUAGCUUGCAGGACUCCAAAGGCACGCUCGACAUCUUUUCUCACAGCUUCUUGGGUUUGAGCGAAUAAUGAAUUCUUCUGACCUUGGGGAAGUCGGAUAGAUUGAAUAAAAGUCGCCCAUUUCGGAUAAAUACCGUCCGUGAGAUAAUAUGCCAAAUGAUACUGAUUCCCAUUCACAUUGAAAUUUACUUCUGGGGCUAUUCCGUUAAUAAUGUCGUCAAAAACGGGUGAUCGAUCAAGAAUAUUAAGGUCGUUCAUAGUACCUGGAGCUCCAAAAAAUGCGUGCCAUAUCCAGAGGUCAUAUGAAGCUACGGCCUCCAAUACAAUAGUUGGUUUAUUGGUUCCACGCGAAUACAUUCCUUUCCAAGCGGUUGGACAAUUCUUCCACUCCCAAUGCAUACAGUCGAUGCUUCCAACCAUUCCGGGAAACCCACGUUGUUCUCCAAUAUAUAAUAGUCUUUGCAGAUCCUCCGGUGUGGGACGUCUUAGAUAUUCCUCGCCAAACAAUUGGACUAUUCCCGCGGUAAAAUGGUGCAAACAUUUUCGAGCUGUUGUUUCACCAAGCCGGACAUAUUCGUCAACGGUAUCAGAGCCACCACCAUACGCCAAUUGUCUAAUUGCUGCGGUACAUUUUUGGAGCGGAGAAAGACUAGCCCGUCCGGUGGCAUCUUGUCUUGGUUGAAAGUAUUCUAUUUCAUUAGACAUACGAUGCAUAAUACGCAAGAACAAAGUCUUGUUCAUUCGAAACCGUCUUCGGAAUAUGUUGUGCGGGUAUGUUGGAGAUUCAGAAAAGUAAUCGUUCCAGAGCUUCGUGUGGCCUUCUUCCCGGUUUCUCUCGAUAUGUAUACGCGGUUUUCUCUUUUUUGGUUCGGGAAUGAAAUUAGGAUUUUCAAAUAUAUCUUCAAACAUAGAAUCAAAUUCAUCAUCAUCAUCUUUGUGAUAAUGAUAAUGUGAAGAAGAAGCCAUUCAAAAUUUAUAAAAGAGAUUGAAAUUUCUAAAAGAUAAUUGAAAGAGAGAAUGUGUUAUGAGGAGGAGAAGUAAUGCAUUGUAUGUGAGAAGUAUGAUCUAUAUAUGCUACAUUGUCGGGUAUGAACGCAUGACACUUUGAUCACGAGCAUUACUAUGUGCUCACGAGCAGUUCAGUGUGCUCACGGGACAGACUCAAGACAGACAAGUGACAGACUCAUCAUGUCGCCUUUGUUCUUUUGUGUAAGAAAAGUCACGGGAAUUUUUAUAAUAAAACUUCAGUUACAUGAGAUGCGUGAGAUUACUUAUAAUAAAAGUUGAGUUACAUUAGAUGACUUAUAAUAAAACUUAAUGUUCCACAGGAAGCAAAUACAAAUGACAAACAAAUAAGCAUCUCUAAACUACCACAAGAACCAUUGCACCACGCCAACUAAAACUACCACAACAACCAUUACCCCGAGAAAGAACUCAAACCUAUAGCUAACCUUAGAUUUUUCCUUAGCUAAAUCAUAGACCAUCUUCUCUAGAAUGGCUACCUUCUGCUCAGUCUCGUUGUCAGACAAAAGGGCAAGACUGUCGACCUUUUCAGACAGCAGAAGAACUUGUCUAUCUCUGUCUCGCAGCUCCUCCAUAAACGCAUCAUCCCACCAUUUCCAUACGUGACACUCCCCAUCAUCUACAUUCGGACAAGUGUAGUAUCGCCUACCUAUUUCGCGAGAAGAUGUUGCAAGUAGUGGCUGAGCGCCACAGUAGCAUCUCUGCGGGAUGCCGAACUCGACCUCGGGUUCCGGAGGGUACUGCACCGGUGAACCUCUUUGUAAGCGUAUCUCCUCUUGGUCACGUCGAAUUAAGUCAUCCGUCUCGUUGUAGCCACUGUCCACAGAGUUGCAAAAUAAAUCCUCCGAGUCCGAAGGUUGACUAUAGCUGUAGUCAAGUCCCAUGUUCCUCUUAUCCUGCAGAAAACGUCAACUGCAUAUUAGAAUCAAGUUUUAGCAAAAACAUUUGUUUAAAAAGAGACAAAGCAAGCAUAUUAAAAGAGACGUACUCAUUUCAUUAAACAACCAUAUUAAAAAGACAUACAUUAAAACAGAGAAUUAAAAGGACAAAGAAAAAACUAUUAAAAAGACAAAUAUAAAAUAUAGAACAUGACAUCUAAUUCUUCAGAAGUACGCAGCUAAGAGCUUAUUCUUCACGACUUCUUCUGCCUCAGUUAAGGGCUCCGACUUUUGGAGGAGAGUAUCCAGUAUAGCCAACUUAGUCAGUCUCUCCUUCAUGGCCAAAUCCUCCUUCUUCAUUUCCCAUAGGGUGGUGUACUCAGCAACAGACUUCCCUUGACCAGUGUUCCUUUUCGAUUUAGCAGCCUUGAUACCUUCAGGCCGGGUCUCAUGAUCAGCAUUCUCGGUGGGUGGCGUUUCAGGUGGGGUUUCACCAUUUUUCCUCUUUGAGCUCGCUUUUGGAGUGUUGAGGCUGAGCCAUUUCUGCUCAUACCUCAACACACACCACGCAUACUCGAGGUUGAACUUGGUUCUCUGAUCAGCGUAGAAGAUGUCGUGAGCCCUCUUGAGAACAUCAGUGUCACUCUCACCACUGCUAAUUUGCCUCUCUGCAGUGGCAUAAGCGCCGCAGAACUUGUUAACUUGAUCGUUUAUCCUAGCCCACCUCUUCUUACAAUGAAGAUGCUCUCUCUUUUCAACUUCCUCUGCUCCGUGAGGACUUGCUGUGUAAUAGUCAGCAACACGUUGCCAGAAGGUGAGUGACUUCUGCUGAUUUCCAACUACGGCAUCCUUGGAAGUGUUGAGCCACGCACUGAUUAGGACCUCGUCAUCAGCCGGGGUCCAUUUGCGUCGAGCAACACGGUCCACGGGUGUGCCUACUGGUGUGCCUAAUGGUGUGCCUACCGGUGUGUCUUCAGAUUGGUGAGAACUGAAAGGAGGGUUCUCGGAUUCUCCUAAGUGAACAUUGGAAUUGAAAGGGAAGUAGCUAGAGGACUCCGUAUAAUGAUUUCUUGGAUCCAUACCGAUAAGAAGCGAGAAGAGAUUAAGAGGAGGUGGUAGAAGAGAUCAACUAGCUACGUAUAUUUAAGGGGGGCAUCAGAAGGGGGUUGAUUGGAGGAAGUGAAGAGUAAGUUAGCAUUAACUUACCCACUUAAUAACUAACCGGCAACAAGAUAUGUCUUAUCUAAAGUUAUUACACAAACAAAAAGCUAUCAACUAUCCUAACAAGAUCAUUAAUAUAUUGUUGGAUUUAGUUUCACACAAACUACCCUUUACAGCCAAACCUAUCUAAUCAAUACGAAGUAACCACGACAAUGGCUUUAAUAAACAGCGAAACAUUUACAAAACAAGUGUACCUUCACUAGAAUUUUAUGGUGUGGUUCAUUAAAAAUACACAGAUUUCAAACUAAAAAUACACAUUCAAAAAUUGCAAAUGCAAAUCAUCUCUAGGAACCGCUUAUCAAAUCCUAUAUACGAAUAUCAAAUCAUCUAUACCAAUCGCUUAUCAAAUCCUCCAUACGAAUAUUAGCUAACCUAUACGAAUCUAUCAAUUCAUCUCUACGAAACCCUUAUCAAAUUUUCAAUCAAAUAAUCAAUACAAGUUUUCCAAUUUACAUCUAAACGAAACCCUAAUCCAAUUUUCCAUCAAAUAAUAAUCUCGAGAAAGAACGGAGGUGAAGGACAUACCUUUGUAUGGUUGGGUCGAUUCUCACACGAUUGGGGAUGCUUGGGAAACUAACCGAACCGACGAUUUAGGUCUUCGUCAUCGGAGAUUUCAGAGUCGCUCUCGCCGUUGGAUGUAGAUCGCGCUUUCGGUUUCCGAAACAAGUUUUGGGCCACCGGAGUCUGAUAAAUCACCUUCGCCGUCGCCUUUUGGAGUCGACUAGAAGAGAAACACGAAGAGAGAAAAUGAAAAAGGCGAUACGGCUUCGAUAUCAUCUCCCAAUCCGGUGCUGCCACGUACACACGAGGGACGACACCGGGAAGCCCUUAAUCAAGGCCCGUUCGUCUCGUCCUUUGCCUUUUUAAUUUUUUUUUUAACCCAAAAUUGGUUAAGGGCCGGCCCAAGUCCCUCCGAUAAUGAUGCCCUAAGUCUCCUGACCUCAUGACAUUGUUGUAAAUUAAUAAACGAACUUGUUUCGAAUAAAUUGUUGAAUGUGAGAUUUUCUGGGGCCUUUUAAAGGUCUGUUUCUGUUUGAAUUGAUUUGUUCUAGUUUUUCAAAUUUUGCGUUUCUAAGAUUGUCUGUUUUUUUUUUUGAUCAAAACUAAUAUUGUCUGUUUCAAAUCACGAAAAUAGUUUAAAGUCAUUUUCUGAAGAAAAAAACUUAAGUCGAAAAAACAAACAAAAGAGAAUAUGAGAUUUCAGCAUAUUCCUCCUCUCUCUGUAGUGAAACGACGCGCUAAUAAGUAACGCGUGGUAAAGCAUUCGUCGGUCAACGAGAGAACCACGUCAUCUCGCAGUCUGUUUCUUAUCAUUAUUUUUAUCACCACCACCCACUUAACGUCUUUUCCACACAGCAAAUAUCGUAUUAUUAUUAUUAAUUAAAAUCACCAAACUUCAUUAAAAAAACAAAUAAAAUAAAGAAAAUUGUUGUUCUUCUUCUUCUUCUUCGAUUCUUCUGCAUCAAAUAAUCGGUUCAAAAUCUCCGGCGAUCUUAGAAGAAUCCCAUUGUCCUUGUGGGGGAAUCUGACAUUUUCAACCGCCAUGGAUGAGACCUAUUCAUAUCUAAUGCAAAUCCUGAAGAAGCCCUCUUUUACAGAGACAUUCGUCGACAUCUUACUCUGCGCCGUCCCGAUUUGGCUCGCCGUCAUGAUCGGUUUAUUGAUCGGAUGGUCUUGGCGUCCGAGAUGGACCGGGUUGAUCUACCUAGGGUUCCGUUCUAAGCUUCGGUUUCUGUGGACUGCUCCUCCUGGGUUCGGCGCUCGUCGUCUUUGGCUUGCCUUCACGGCUCUCU
rnacentral:lncRNA from 1 species